rnacentral:rRNA from 1 species
GACGAACGCUGGCGGCGUGCUUAACACAUGCAAGUCGAACGGAAAGGCCCUGCUUAUGUGGGGUGCUCGAGUGGCGAACGGGUGAGUAACACGUGAGUAACCUGCCCUUGACUUUGGGAUAACUUCAGGAAACUGGGGCUAAUACCGGAUAGGAGCUCCUGCUGCAUGGUGGGGGUUGGAUAGUUUCGGCGGUUGGGAAUGGACUGGCGGCUUAUGUGCUUGUUGGGUUGGUAGUGGCUUAGCAAGGCUUGGACGGGUAGCCGGGCUGGGAGGAUGACCGGCCACAUUGGGACUGAGAUGCGGCCCAGACCCCUACGCGAGGCAGCAGUGGGGAGUAUUGCACUAUGGGCGGAAGCCUGAUGCAGCAACGCCGCGUGCGGGAUGACGGCCUUCGGGUUGUAAACCGCUUUCGCCUGUGACGAAGCGUGAGUGACGGUAAUGGGUAAAGAAGCACCGGCUAACUACGUG